rnacentral:misc_RNA from 1 species
CCCGUAGGUGCGCACUAUCUUGCAGCCAAGUACAAGGUCCGAUGGGGCGAUCUCAGUUCCGAUCAUUACAAAGCUGAUCCCUAGUAACCUGUCGAGUUAUGUUGUUGUGUCGACAACUGUAGGCCUCCGUAAGUUAGACUGGAGCUGAAAAUUCACAAGGUUAGGAGUUGGAUGACUUGCGAGUAGUUGAAGUGUGUUGUUAUUGUUGAGUUUUGAAUUGCAUGACAGAAAGUUUGUUAAAACCUUGAACAGUUGCUAAUGUUAGCAUGGGUUGAGGAUGGAAGGCAUUUAUGUUUGUCUUUGGUUUACCAGUUAGACCACCCACACGUCCAUGUCUCUCGGGGAUUUGAUCUGUCAUUGCUGAAAUAAAAGUGAUGUUUUG